GGUCAGAAUAGCUUAAUUGGUAGAGCAACCAAGGCCAGAAUCAUAUCUUAUUUAGAUGGCUCAUGGGUGGUUUCGGGUUCGAAUCCCGAUCUGACCU
rnacentral:tRNA from 1 species